rnacentral:tRNA from 2 species
GGGCGAUUAGCUCAGUUGGUAGAGCAACCCAUUUACACUGGGAAGGUCGCAGGUUCAAGUCCUGCAUCGCCCACAA